CAACUGCGGAGGACUUCCACCCGCCAUGUCGUUUAAUGGUGACCAAGUCACUACCGCUGUUGGCUAAAUGUGAGACACUUGAACGCCGGAAACAGUGCCCAGAUGUAUUGUGCCGGAUUGGCUAAUUGUAGAAACUCUGCAAUCUUUCGUGGCGUCUUGCCCAUUGUAUUGAUUCCGAUCGGAGUAGUAAUGCAGCGACCACUACGGCACCGAUACAACAACAAUAUCAUUUUUAUAUUGGAUGUCGCCCAGUGCCAUAUUAGUCAGCUCCUCGCGUCUGCAUGCCCCACUGUAGCCCAUUAUUAAAAUAACCUACAACGAGAAUACAAACAAGAUACUCCUGUAGCUAGUACCUACCCACUAGAACAAAAAAUUCUACUUACUUUUGUAUCUAAAUAAUGCUUGUCGUCAGCCUCCUGAAUAAAUCGAUUAAUUUGCUCUAAA